rnacentral:rRNA from 1 species
UCCCAGCGGUCCAAGUCGCAAUCACGUUUAUUGGGUCUAAAACAUCCGUAGCUUGCUACGCAAGUGCUUUGUGAAAUCCGGCUUCUUAAGAGUCGAAGUGCAAAGUAUACUACAUAGCUAGAGACCGGGAGACGUAAGAAGUACGGUUAGAGUAGCGGUUAAAUGUGUUGAUCCUUUCCGGACUAACAAUAGCGAAGGCAUCUUACGAGAACGGAUCUGACAGUGAGGGAUGAAGGCUAGGGGCGCAAAGCGG